UGUGUCUUAUGCUCCUGCAGAUGGUGCUUCUCCUCUCAAUUUCAGUGGAAAUUCAGAAAUUUUAAUAACCUAGAAUUUCAGAGUUGUUAGAUAGUGGCUCAGACUUAAAUGCCAAUUUAAAUAACUUUCCCUUGUGACUCUCAACUUGCCUUGCAUAUGGAAUAGCUACCAUUUAAACUACUGCUUGGAGGCUUAAUUAAACCAGAAGGAAGACACAUAUGUAAGAGACUGAAAGUUACUAAAACCCACAGGCCUCAUUCAGAACCAUUCACAAAUUUUUCAAGUCAAUUGAAUUUUUCAUGUGAAAGAAAAAUUUUAAAAUCCAAACAGAUGACAUGGAAAGAAGAAAUGAAGAGGUCAUCUUGAGCUGGUGUUAAAAAGCAUACAAAUCUCAUAAUAGCACUUUUGCCAAAUUUUAGUGCCUGUACCCCCUGUGCCUGGUAAGACAAGCCAUUACUAUCGCAAAAAUCCAAUGCCAACCCUGCUGCACUGAAGUUAAGGCCCAUCACAGUGUGUGGCUGCAGCAGCAGCAGUGAUACUCACGUUCCAACUGUCUGUGCCAGCUGACCGGAGCAACACCUGGCUCCAGUUCUGGCACAGGAGCCCUUCCAAGAAACAACAGGUUGUGAAGGUACAUUUUACCAUGGCUUGGCAGCUGGAACUUGGGAGAACACCACAGAGCUGUGAGGUCACUGUGCAGGUCAGUGCAGCUGCACAGCUGCACAGGUAUUUGCUGCAGACAGAGAUGCAGCAGGGUGCCCUCAGCGAGUGGCAGAGCUGGGAGCAGGGCACUGACGCAGCACAACACAGCUCUCCGCCUCCUCAAGGAUGAAUUUAGCUUCCUUAGGAGGCGAGUCGGAGCCUCUGCAAUUUUGCUGUGAGAAGUUCUGAAGAUAAUUAGCUGGUGCUCUGCCCGCCCAGGCAUCUGUGACAGCAGCGAGCGCUACAGUGACAGCAACCAGCCGGCUUUGAAUGCACCCAGAGGCGCCGAGGAGCAAGCGGGGCUUUCACUUCAUUACAGUGGCUUUAGAAAGCUCUGAACAAAAUCGACUUCCCACACUGGCACUGGCUCUAGAUGCAGACUGCAUUUAGGAGAGCAGCAGCACAUGUUCAGGGUUUAAAAUCCUGGGGUUUUAAUGGCAUGGAAUCUAAGCUUAGUGCAGGGAAAAGAAAUACGUUAUCUGGAGGAAACCUACAUCCAUGCUCCAGCCUCCACAACAGAAGCUCUUCGGUAAUUCAUUGCUGUACCCAGGAGUUGCUGAUCUUCCAGCCAUUCUCCAGCCUCUGCGCCGGAGUUCACACCGGCUGCAGCCAGGGCUGUGCAGGCACUGCACAAAUAAACAGGCUGCAGUUCA